GCCCUCGUCGUUCAAUGGAUAGGACGCGAGAUUCCGGAUCUCGUGAUAUAGGUUCGAUUCCUAUCGAGGGCA
rnacentral:tRNA from 1 species